rnacentral:tRNA from 1 species
GUUAAGCUGGCAAAAAUAAUGUGUUUGAUUUAGGAUCAAAAGAUAGGUGUAAACCUGUUUAACU